GACGAACGCUGGCGGCGUGCUUAACACAUGCAAGUCGAACGGAAAGGCCUUGCUUUUGUGGGGUGCUCGAGUGGCGAACGGGUGAGUAACACGUGAGUAACCUGCCCUUGACUUUGGGAUAACUUCAGGAAACUGGGGCUAAUACCGGAUAGGAGCUCCUGCUGCAUGGUGGGGGUUGGAAAGUUUCGGCGGUUGGGGAUGGACUCGCGGCGUAUCAGCUUGUUGGUGGGGUAGUGGAUUACCAAGGCUUCGAGGGGUAGCCGGCCUGAGAGGGUGACCGGCCACACAGGAGCGGGGACACGGGACAGACUCCUACGGGAGGCAGGAGGAGGGAAUCUUCCGCAAUGGGCGAGAGCCUGACGGAGCAACGCCGCGUGAGUGAUGAAGUGCUUCGGAUCGUAAAACUCUGUUAUGAGGGAAGAACAAAUGUGUAAGUAAAUAUGCACGUCUUGACGGUACCUAAGCAGAAAGCCACGGCUAACUACGU
rnacentral:rRNA from 1 species